UAAGUCCCUAUACCCAAUAUCUUGAAGUGAACCAGGUCAGGUCGUGACUGAAGCAGCCUUAAGCUUAUGUAGGUAUGUGGGUGUAGGCACUUAGAG
rnacentral:SRP_RNA from 2 species